GCUGUGACUCACCAUCCUGUGCUGCUUGUGGGUCAGGCUUUGGGGAGUGGGAUACACCAGCUGGGAGCAUGGUAUGGGGGAGCUGCUCCGGCAGCGCAAUGGCCUUGCCUCCGGCUGGCUCAGUGCUACCUGCUCUCUCCUCUGUUGAAUUAUAAAAAUUCAGCUCAGUGCAUGUUGCUCCAUCUUUCUCUUCAUCUUAGUGCUUCCUGAUGCUCGUACUGGGCUGAGGGUGGGAGUGGGGCCUGAGAGCAGGUCCGAGCUGUGGAGGCACAGAGGUGCUGUAAGAGGGGACUGCAGAGUGUGUGUGUGUGUGGGAGGGGGGGGCAUUUGAACACAGGAUAAGGAGCCCUGGCGUCAGAGGUGCAGAGAUUGGGGGGUAGGAUUCUCGCUGGCGCACUUGGCUGAAGGAGCCCAAUAGAGGCCCUGGCAUGUACAAUGAGUAAACAAAGCUUUUGGGGCUCUUUUACUGUUUAAUUUUGAUUUUUUUUUUGUUUUGUUUAACAUCAAUGCUGGUAUGUAUAUCUCUGGACAUCACGCACACUCCCCUCCAGACCUGCCCCAACAUUGCUGAGUGCUGGAAAGUGAAACUACCCCGGUUCCCCAGCCCAGAGGCAGCUAUGGCUGCAGAGAGCCCCGUGGAAAGUCUUCGGGAGGAACCGCUGUGUCCCGUCUGUUUGGAGGAUUUUACAGCCCCAGUCUCUCUGGAGUGUGGACACAAUUUCUGCCAGGCUCCCCUCAGCUGUCAGUGCAGAGACACUGAGCAGCAUGGACCCAACCGUCAGCUGGCAAACAUGGUAGAACUAGCCAAGCCACUGAGUUUCCAGGCAGCAGAGAGAGCAAGAUGUAUGGGGACCACCAGAAGGCUCUGAAGCUGUUCUGUGAAGAGGAUCAAACUCCUAUCUGGGUGGUGUGUGACAGAUCCCAGGUUCACACAGUGGUGCCCAUACAGGAAGCCUCCACAGGAGUACAAGGAAAAAUUGGAGACCCAUUUGAAGACCCUGAGGGAAGAGAGAAAAAAGCUGCUGAGAAGUAAAAUGAAAGCAGAGGGGAAAAGCCAGGAGUAUCUGAAACAGACACAAGCAGAGAGGCAGAGAAGAUUGUGGCUGAGUUUCAGCAUCUGUGGCAGUUUCUGGAGGAACAAGAGGAAUUCCUGCUUACUCAGCUGCAGAAGCUGGAUGAGGAGAUUGGGAGGCUUCAGACUGACACUGUCAGGAGACUUUCCAUGCAGAUUUCCUAUCUCAUUGUGCUGUGCAGUGAGCUGGAGGGGAAGAGUCAGAAGCCAGUGAGUGAAUUCCUACAAGUGAGACUGAGGAAGAAACAUCCUAGCUCACCACACAGGGAAGGGAGGCUCCUGAAUCACAAGUGCUGGGGUCCAGCUAUCAGAUCUUGGUGUAACACCUUGUGCAUUGCUGACAUAGUUACUACACCAUCUCCCAGACAGCAAGAAACCACUUCUGAAAGCAAUAGUACAAGAUGCAUACGCAUCAUGUAGCACUGCACUGCAGAUUGCCAUGGACGUGGCUGACACAGCUGCUCGAGCCACUGCUACGGGCAUCGAAGUGAGAAGAUCGUCAUGGCUUUCAUCCGCAGGAGCACCAAGAGAGUUACAAAGCAAGGUUGAGGAUCUGCCUUUUGAUAUGCUUAAGCUUUUUGUGACAAACACCGAUGAAGACCUUCACUCAGGCAAAGAUUCCUGCACCACCCUACGUACACUGGGGAUGUACACGCCUCCCUUCAGAUGUAGGCACUAUUAUCCUUAUCAGUGGAGAUAUGAUUUUAAUUUCCCGAGACAGCAAAUGCGUACUGUGGAGAACCAACGCCCUAGGCAAUGUCCUCAACGAAAACGACCCCAACAAAACUGUUUGUCCAAUUAAUCUUCAGCCAAACAGCAGAUUUGAUGCCUUCCAUAGUCAACGCGGAAUACAAAGAUCUGCACCUCUUAUGUUAUACCAAAUAAAAGCAAGCAGGAUCUUAUGAGGGGGAUAAGGCAAAAAGCCACAUUUAUUGUAAAGAUAAUAAAAAAAUAAAGAAAAGAUAGAAGCAAACAACGUU